CGCUCUGGUGGACUAGUGGUUAGAGCGUCCGCCUCGGAUGCUGGAGGUCGUGGGUUCGAUCCCCGGCUGAGUCA